AUCUCAGAGGAUGUGGGCCAGAGCAGUGUGGAUGGAAGAGGAAGUAGGUGUUACUCCAGAGCACUGGAUCAAAGACCAAACUGUGUGAUGUCUCCAAAAUAAAUAUGAAAACAAUAAAGGAUUUGUCCACACCCUCUCUGAAAUGGAAGUCAUUCAAGCUUCUGUCGUUACAACUGACAUCAGGCAACCCAAGCUCCAACCACAAUAUGCCUGAAGCACCAGGAAACCUGUGCCACCGCUACCAAGAAGCAAAAGGCUAAAACGCAGCAAAAGCCAUCAACUAAUGACGAAAACCUGUGCCGGUGCCACUAACAAGCAAAAGGCGAAAACUCCCUGCAAGCCACCAGGUAUUGGUGGUGAGUGGAAAUAGCAAACUAAAAUGCUACGAAAGCCACCAAGUAGUUAUAGAGAAUCUUGAUCCUUCAUUCUCCAGGGAUCAUUCAUGUGGGAGACAGCGGUCUCCUUCUGCUUCUUCAGAUGAGAGAUGCCCCUCACCAAAGCGCUGCAAAAGCUCAGACCCUUUUCCUAUGCCGGAAAAUUUUGAAAAAAAGAGUCCUAUAUCUCGUUUGUGACAUCUGUGACGGGAAGAUUAUUAAAGAUGGAAGAGCAGCUAAUGAAGAAUGAUUUAAAAAUAUAUGAUCUCUCAAAGCUGGGGGGGAGACAUCCCAGACUGGGUGAAGAGAGCAAUGCACCAGUAAACUAUUACCAUAUGUUUCGCUUUUAAGUGAGGUCAUGGUGUGUUGCUUGUAAAGUAUAUAUUUUGUGUUCUGACAAACGGCCUCAUGUCAACGUUCAAUAUGAAUGGAAAUAGAGGGCCUUCGACGACUCCAAUUUUUACAUUGUCAUUAUAGGUACAGUGGAGUCCAAGUCAUGACAUUUGGAUAACUUCUCUAGCUUAUGUUUGUUUUCCACCUUUACACCACGUGUGAGUCUUGGCUAAUCAAAGGCUAGUGGCAGAAAUACUACAGGCGACUUCAACCUCCCUGAAAUAUGUACCUUACCACAAGGGGGGUAAGUGGGAGUGCUAAUGAGUAAGGGGUUGAAAGAGUUCUUAAGAAGUUAAAAGCAUUAAAGGUCAGACUGUGCCUGUUUUUGGUUUAUUGUGUGUGUAUAUAUAUAUAUAUAUAUAUAUAUAAUUUGAAUUUCCAGAAGCCUGUGCCAGAAAUAAUUUGUUGAGCUUUUUUAUUUGAAAAAAAGUGGCUUGUACAUCUGUUUUGGGGUGCAAUAAAUUGAUUUAAA